GAAGGCUGCAUUUGAAGACCGAAUACGUCACAGUCGAUGUAACUAGGCUGUCCCAUUUCGAAGGCUCCUUCAAAUGCGGCCGAGAAAUGCAGCCUUCUUUUCAUCCGUUUGGAGGAUUCAACAGCUGGAUCCUUCGCAGCCCCAGGUAUCCCGAUAUUCAUUACACGCCGGUUGAUUGUCCAGCGUAAAUAAUGGCGUCGGCUGUGGCUGUGGAGUUGAGCCACCAGGGUUUUACCUAUAAAUGCAGCAAGGAGCAAACUGCCCUGUUCAUUAAAUUGAGGGGGGAGAGCGACCACCUCUUCACCGGGGCAAAUUUUCUGCCAACAUGACUUGGAGGACAAUUUUGGAGAAAAUGGACCUGUGGGGGAAGGUGACUUCCCUCCAAGCAAAAAAAAG